AGAGUUUGAUCAUGGCUCAGAGCGAACGCUGGCGGCGUACUUAACACAUGCAAGUCGAACGAGGAUCAUCGGUGUAGCAAUACAUCGGUGGUCCUAGUGGCGCACGGGUGAGUAACACGUGGGUAACCUGCCCUUGAGCUCGGGAUACCCCCUCGAAAGGGGGGCUAAUACCGGAUACGUUCCUCGGAUCGACAGGUCUGGGGAGGAAAGGUGGCGCAAGCUGCCGCUCUUGGAGGGGCUCGCGGCCUAUCAGCUAGUUGGCAGGGUAACGGCCCACCAAGGCUAUGACGGGUAGCUGGUCUGAGAGGACGACCAGCCACACGGGGACUGAGACACGGCCCCGACUCCUACGGGAGGCAGCAGUGGGGAAUUUUCCGCAAUGGGCGAAAGCCUGACGGAGUGACGCCGCGUGUGGGACGAAGGCCUUCGGGUCGUAAACCACUGUCAGUGGGAAAGAAGGGUGUCGAUGCUAAUACCAUCGGCAUUUGACGGUACCUGCAGAGGAAGCCCCGGCCAACUCUGUGCCAGCAGCCGCGGUAAGACAGAGGGGGCAAGCGUUGCUCGGAAUUACUGGGCGUAAAGGGCGCGUAGGCGGGAUGGCAAGUCGGUCCUGAAAUCCUUCGGCUCAACCGAAGAACGUCGAUCGAUACUGCUGUUCUUGAGGGUUGCAGAGGAGACUGGAAUUCCCGGUGUAGCGGUGAAAUGUGUAGAGAUCGGGAGGAACACCGGUGGCGAAGGCGGGUCUCUGGGCAAUUCCUGACGCUGAGGCGCGAAAGCGUGGGGAGCAAACGGGAUUAGAUACCCCCGUAGUCC
rnacentral:rRNA from 1 species